GUCCAGACUCCUACGGGAGGCAGCAGUGGGGAAUAUUGCACAAUGGGGGAAACCCUGAUGCAGCGACGCCGCGUGAAGGAAGAAGUAUUUCGGUAUGUAAACUUCUAUCAGCAGGGAAGAAAAUGACGGUACCUGACUAAGAAGCCCCGGCUAACUACGUGCCAGCAGCCGCGGUAAUACGUAGGGGGCAAGCGUUAUCCGGAUUUACUGGGUGUAAAGGGGGCGCAGACGGCAGCGCAAGCCAGGAGUGAAAGCCCGGGGCCCAACCCCGGGACUGCUCUUGGAACUGCGCGGCUGGAGUGCAGGAGGGGCAGGCGGAAUUCCUGGUGUAGCGGUGAAAUGCGUAGAUAUCAGGAGGAACACCGGUGGCGAAGGCGGCCUGCUGGACUGCGACUGACGUUGAGGCCCGAAAGCGUGGGGAGCAAACAGGAUUAGAUACCCGUGUAG
rnacentral:rRNA from 1 species